rnacentral:rRNA from 1 species
CACUUAUCGUGCUGGGAGACAGUGUCAGGCGGGCAGUUUGACUGGGGCGGUCGCCUCCUAAAGAGUAACGGAGGCGCUCAAAGGUUCCCUCAGAAUGGUUGGAAAUCAUUCAUAGAGUGUAAAGGCAUAAGGGAGCUUGACUGCGAGACCUACAAGUCGAGCAGGGUCGAAAGACGGACUUAGUGAUCCGGUGGUUCCGCAUGGAAGGGCCAUCGCUCAACGGAUAAAAGCUACCCCGGGGAUAACAGGCUUAUCUCCCCCAAGAGUUCACAUCGACGGGGAGGUUUGGCACCUCGAUGUCGGCUCAUCGCAUCCUGGGGCUGUAGUCGGUCCCAAGGGUUGGGCUGUUCGCCCAUUAAAGCGGUACGCGAGCUGGGUUCAGAACGUCGUGAGACAGUUCGGUCCCUAUCCGUCGUGGGCGUAGGAAAUUUGAGAGGAGCUGUCCUUAGUACGAGAGGACCGGGAUGGACAUACCUCUGGUGUACCAGUUGUCGUGCCAACGGCAUAGCUGGGUAGCUAUGUAUGGACGGGAUAAGUGCUGAAAGCAUCUAAGCAUGAAGCCCCCCUCGAGAUGAGAUUUCCCAACUUC